rnacentral:lncRNA from 1 species
GGCAGAUGGCGUGGUGCGCUCUGGUGGACGUUCCGUCUAGUUAGCCUAAGCAUCAUCCACAUACUCUGGUGAACACUCGAGGACAAGGCCGCUUGCUAUUAUUAGUAAAGGGCCGAACCGUCCUGUCAUUGGUGGAGGCAGUGCUUGACUGUGCAUCGAUCCAGGAAUCCGAUCUUUUCUCUCAACCACAGAGCUAACGUGCUCAGAAGUGGCCUUUAUCCUGGCCGAGUGUUUAUUAGAAUUCACGUUUCUGUUAUGGUC